rnacentral:lncRNA from 1 species
AACAAAUGAUAACAUAAUGGUAGAAGAUAUUUUAAACAAGUUCUGUAAAUCUAAUGAACUAUGGUUUCAUAAACUGUGGUUAAUUAAGUUUAGCCUAAAAAAUAAGUUAAUUGGCUUACGCGAUCUACUUAAUGAGUUAGAAUAUUGUAAAGGUUGUUUUUAUAAAGAUGAUAGAAACUUCCAUUGUUGGAAUUAUCGGGCUUAUAUAAUAUCAUGUAUACAUAUAUAUAUUAAAAAGGAACAACUGGAACGCCUUAAAAAUUGUGAUUCUAAAAAAGAUCAUGAUCAUACCCACUCGUCUGACGCAAUUAUGUUUAAUCAUACUUUUAACAUUCAUAAAGAGAAUUAUGAAUUGUCAAAUUUUUUGAUUGAACAGAAUUUUUCCAAUUUCUCUGCAUGGUUUUUGAAAUAUUCAAUAAAAGACUCUUUAAUGAAUAUUUCAGAUGAAAUAGAUUUGAUUAAGAAUGCUAUUUUUACUGACCCGUUUGAUCAGAGUUUAUGGGAGUUUUAUCAAUGGUUUUUUUUUAAAAAAGGGAAUCAUGAAGAGAAAGUUUUUUUUAUUCUUUUAGCGAAUAAUUGUUUUUAUAUAUUUUUUCAAAAUUUGAUUAAAAUUAAUUUACCAAAAUGUAAAUGUUAUGAUACUACAAAGAAUAAUGAAAUAAAAGGUACAUGGGAUCAACAAAACAUAACUUUUUAUAAUUUAGACCAUAGUUCAGAAUCGUAUGUAUACAUGUUUAAAAUUAAUGAAGAUGUAGAACUGUGUAAUUUUACCUUUUUAAAAUUUGUUUUAUAUUAUGAUAAAUAUAAUUUACAUUCAAUUGACACAAUACACUAUGAAAAAAGUGUAUUAAAAGAUUUGGUUAAUGAUAAUAAAUGUUUAUCUGAUGAAAAUAAGUUUGAGCAUAAUAUUGUGUAUGAAGUAGAUUUAAGCAAAUUUUUACAACAUACAAAUUUUAAGUUGUUAUUGAGUUGUGAUACCAGUAGUAGUCUCAAUUGUUACAGCAAUAUCGAAUAUAAUUGCGAAACUGAUAAAACUCAUCACUUUAUCUACCAACCUAGCUAUACCAACCCAUAUAUCAAUUUUUAUAAAUAUAUAACCUUAACGAAUAUACGUUUAAAUACAUCUAACCAUGUAAAUUUUGAUAUUCUUAAUUCG